AAGCAGACGGUGGACGAAGCAAGUAUUCUAAAUUUCUGUAAACUCCAAGGUUCCCCCGGUCUUAGCUGCCCCGUGGGAGGUGUGUGGCGAGACCGUGACCCCAGGAGUUGAGGAAGCCCCGGGGAUGACGUGGGAAGGGUGAAAUAAGGAAGUGAGUGGGCGGGUGGUUCGCCUGUUUGAAGCAGAGUCACGUGUUCGAAUCCCUGCUUCGUCCGGUGCGGCGAGGCUGGGGAAGGAAGGAGGGAGGCAGAGACGAGCCGGACACGGAGGAGGGAAGGCGUGUGGAGGUGAAGGAGGGGAAGGAUCUGAAGGAGGAACACUUACCAUAACCACAACUACCACCACCACCGCUACCACCACCACCAGCACGAGUCUGCCAAGGUGAUAACGGACAGAGCGAUGCAGCGGGAGGCGGAGCGGGAGAGGGAGAGAGAGAGAGACGCCCGCGGGGUACGACAGAGAGAGACAAGAGGAGGAGAGGAUGAACGCGAGACGGAGAGGAUGUAGUAAGCCCACGACCUGCACUGCUGCGGCCUGGAUGGUGAAGUCUUGCACUUGUUCUGCAGCCCCUAACCCCAACACCUGCACUGCUGCCUGGAUGGAGAAGCCUUGCACACUGCCGUCGGAGUCAGCAGUAGGACAGUUGUCAUUCACUCUGAAAAGAUAGGUAGCAUUUUUAGAUGGUGGUGACCUGUGCUGUCAUGUGUAUCUUGUGUACACUAAAAUAUAUACUUAAGCCAAAGCCA